rnacentral:rRNA from 1 species
UACAGAGGGUGCAAGCGUUGUUCGGAAUUACUGGGCGUAAAGCGCGUGUAGGCUGCAAUGUAAGUCGAACGUGAAAGCCCUCAGCUUAACUGAGGAAGUGCGUUUGAUACUGCAUCGCUUGAGUGUCGGAGGGGAUGGCGGAAUUCCCGGUGUAGAGGUGAAAUUCGUAGAUAUCGGGAGGAACACCUGUGGCGAAGGCGGCCAUCUGGACGACGACUGACGCUGAGACGCGAAAGCGUGGGUAGCAAACAGG